rnacentral:rRNA from 1 species
GUAGGGAGCAAGCGUUGUUCGGAAUUAUUGGGCGUAAAGAGCGCGUAGGCGGUUCGGUAAGUCUGACGUGAAAUCCCGGAGCUUAACUCCGGAACUGCGUUGGAUACUGCCGGGCUUGAGUGUGGGAGAGGAGAGUGGAAUUCCCAGUGUAGAGGUGAAAUUCGUAGAUAUUGGGAGGAACACCCGUGGCGAAGGCGGCUCUCUGGACCACAACUGACGCUGAGGCGCGAAAGCUAGGGUAGCAAACGGGAUUAGAUACCCCGGUAGUCCUAGCCGUAAACGAUGGGCACUAGGUGUUGGAGGUAUCGACCCCUCCAGUGCCGCAGCUAACGCAUUAAGUGCCCCGCCUGGGGAGUACGGUCGCAAGACUA